UUCUCCUGGAAACGGGUGGUAAUGCCGGAUGCUCCGACUCCUCGCAUGGGGUGUCGGGAAAGAUUUCAUCGGUAUGGGAUGGGGUCGCGUCCUAUCAGGUAGUCGGCGGGGUAACGGCCCACCGAGCCUACGACGGGUAGCCGGCCUGAGAGGGCGACCGGCCACAUUGGGACUGAGAUACGGCCCAGACUCCUACGGGAGGCAGCAGUGGGGAAUAUUGCACAAUGGGCGCAAGCCUGAUGCAGCGACGCCGCGUGCGGGAUGACGGCCUUCGGGUUGUAAACCGCUUUUGAUCGGGAGCAAGCCUUCGGGUGAGUGUACCUUUCGAAUAAGCACCGGCUAACUACGUGCCAGCAGCCGCGGUAAUACGUAGGGUGCAAGCGUUAUCCGGAAUUAUUGGGCGUAAAGGGCUCGUAGGCGGUUCGUCGCGUCCGGUGUGAAAGUCCAUCGCUUAACGGUGGAUCUGCGCCGGGUACGGGCGGGCUGGAGUGCGGUAGGGGAGACUGGAAUUCCCGGUGUAACGGUGGAAUGUGUAGAUAUCGGGAAGAACACCAGA
rnacentral:rRNA from 1 species